UACGAAGGGGGCUAGCGUUGUUCGGAAUUACUGGGCGUAAAGCGUAUGCAGGCGGACUUUUACGUCGGGGGUGAAAUCCCGAGGCUCAACCUCGGAACUGCCUUCGAUACUGGAAGUCUUGAGUCCGGGAGAGGUGAGUGGAACUCCGAGUGUAGAGGUGAAAUUCGUAGAUAUUCGGAAGAACACCAGUGGCGAAGGCGGCUCACUGGCCCGGUACUGACGCUGAGAUACGAAAGCGUGGGGAGCAAACAGG
rnacentral:rRNA from 1 species